rnacentral:snoRNA from 1 species
AAGACUAUACUGUCAGAAAUAAUUUCUAUAGCUUGUUCCUAGAGAAGUUUCUCUGAUCAUGGAGCACCAGAAACCAUGAGGAGGCCAGAUAGCGUUCUCUCCUGAGCAUGAAGCUGCUUCUAGGUGCUGCUUUGCUGUGGCUAUCAUUUACCAGUGAUAAUUGUUCGUCCCUUCCUCUAGGAAGGCAGAGGGAGAGAAUAAUCUGAAUGGC